rnacentral:misc_RNA from 1 species
UGUGAGAGUGAGCUUGCUCGCGAUAGCAGUGGGUCAGUCACUAUCGAUGUGGGCUGAUAGUACGCCAUCGCGAGCAGGCUCGCUCCCACA